GCCCAUCUGGCGGAAUCGGCAGACGCACCGCACUCAAAAUGCGGCGCCUUCGGGCGUCCGGGUUCAAGUCCCGGGAUGGGCA
rnacentral:tRNA from 1 species